ACAUGCAAUUCAUCCACUAUUCCUUCGUUUCCACCGCCGAAGACAACCAUAAGUUCUUUGAUGGCCACAGCUCGGUGUCCGUGUCUGGGCCGGGGGACAGGACCAGACCAUCCCAGGACCCGCUUCCACCGCGGCUGCAGGACCGACACCCCGGAGCCCGGAACAGACAUGACUCUGUCGGCGGGAGAAAUAUUGCCCCGCCAUCUUUCGACGAUCGGCCUACUUCUACAGCUCCCACAAGAAAAAUGGCCGGGCGGUUUGCACAACAAAGCUUUACAGCGCUCAAAAACGUAAUAAUUUUGUUUUCUACUUACUUAUUUCGGUGCAGUGGUUGCGGAAACACGUACACGGUGUUUAUUAUUGCAAAAAUAAUUCAAAUUCAUUCGAUUUGUGCAGAAGUAUUUCCUCUCAUGCCUGCCUGGAAGCUGCCAUCUUCUUGACAACUAAAGGCGGAGGAAAAUGGAGAGUUGGCGUCACCCAAAUGCUCUAUGUUUGAAAACACACCAAGACAACACCGGGACUCCUGCAAUCAGACAUACUAAAACUUUUAACAAAUUACAGCAACUUGUAUCGUAUUGUAAAGGUUAUUGUCCCUUACUAAAGAUGGCGACGCUUGCACAGGAACCAAUUAAAAUUCAAUACAAUUUUGGGAGAACAGUAGACCUGCUUGUGUUUUUAGAGGCAUACUUUUGUUUGAUUCCAACCCGUUGUAGUUUAAAAAGAAUACAAUAAAAUAGGGUAAUAUUUCCAUUGUAGUUGGCGCAAUUUUACUCGGUUAACUUAGUGCAUCUCUGCGAUCAAACCAAUGGGCAACGCACAUAGUUAAUGCCACGCCCACAGUUCACAGCGCCCUCUACAGAUGGUUCUAACAUGGUCGUCAAGUAUGGCCAUAGACAUAAUAGACCAUAGACAUAAUAGACCAUAGACAUAAUGGAUUUAUUUUUUUGUUAUUAAUUUACUUAUCCUUUUGUCCAAAUUUUAUAUCCACAAAUGUAAAUAUUCCAAGCAGAAACCCAACUUUACAGAUUUUAAUAGUGAUACUCUUUGUAUAAAGAUUCUGGAAAGUUCUGAUAACAAAAAGUCUCUGAAAACUAUCAGUAUUUGUUCAAAAUACAAUAUAUUUGUAAAUGUAUAAUUGUACAAUUCUGUCAUACCCCCUGGCAUACUGUUUGUAUACAUUGUAUACUUAUUGCAAUAAAAUAUAUAUUUUUUAAAAACAUAGACAUAUUGGCAGUAAGGCAAGGGUG
rnacentral:lncRNA from 1 species